GCACGGGAGCAAUCCUGGUGGCGAGUGGCGAACGGGUGAGUAAUAUAUCGGAACGUGCCCAAUCGUGGGGGAUAACGCAGCGAAAGCUGUGCUAAUACCGCAUACGAUCUACGGAUGAAAGCGGGGGACUCAGCAAUGGGCCUCGCGCGAAUGGAGCGGCCGAUAUCAGAUUAGCUAGUUGGUGGGGUAAAGGCUCACCAAGGCGACGAUCUGUAGCUGGUCUGAGAGGACGACCAGCCACACUGGAACUGAGACACGGUCCAGACUCCUACGGGAGGCAGCAGUGGGGAAUUUUGGACAAUGGGCGCAAGCCUGAUCCAGCAAUGCCGCGUGCAGGAUGAAGGCCUUCGGGUUGUAAACUGCUUUUGUACGGAACGAAAAGACUCCUUCUAAUAAAGGGGGUUCAUGACGGUACCGUAAGAAUAAGCACCGGCUAACUACGUGCCAGCAGCCGCGGUAAU
rnacentral:rRNA from 1 species